UUCCCGAUGUGUUGAUGGAGACAACGGACGGAUGGAGGGAGGGAGGGAGGGAGGGAAGGAAGGAAGAAGAGGAGGGAGGGAGAGGAGGAGAAAGGGAUGAAAUACACAGUUUAUCUCCUCUGUGUGUGUGUGUGUGUGUGUGUGUGUGGAGGAGGAGGAGGAAGAAGAAGAAAUAAGAUGGUGGCGGUUUCCUCUCUCUCGCUCUCGCUCUCUCUCUCUCUCUCUCUCUCUCUCUCUCUCUCUCUCUCUCUCUCUCUCUCUCUCUCUCUCUCUCUCUUUCAUUUCUUAAUUCAAUUCCUCUAAAUCUUCUUCUUUCUUUUCCUAUUCUUCCUCCUCCUCCUUCUCUUCCUCCUCGUACAUCUCUUUCAGUCCAAUUCCCCCUCCCCCCGCUCCCCACCUCUCUCUCUCUCUCUCUCUCUCUCUCUCUCUCUCUCUCUCUCUCUCUCUCUCUCUCUCUCUCUCUCUCUCUCUCUCUCUCUCUCUCUCUCUCUCCUUUCAUCUUCUUAAGUCUUCUCAAGGUUAUUUAGAGAGAGAGAGAGAGAGAGAGUCAACUUAGGUCAGGAGAGGAACAGGGACACUGAUAAAUACCGACUAUGAUAAACAGACAGAGAGAGAGAGAGAAUUUCCUUUCUUUCUUUUGUCCUUGCUUUAAUAAUAAUAAUAAUAAUAAUAAUAAUAAUAAUAAUAAUAAUAACGAUAAUAACGUAGAGGAAAUUACUUUUUUUGAGAAUUACGCUCAAAUUAGAGACGUCGCAGUCAGCGUUUUGAUACCAGAUAGCGCCAGAAUUUUUAAUUCUCGCCGGAAAAUAAAUACUUUUUUGGGACAAGGUUUUACAAGCUUACAAAGGUGUAUCGUUGCACAGUAAUGCGUCUGAAUUUUAAGUCAAUUAAUUUCGUGAUAACUGACAGCACGUGACAUUGUUUGAGCCUCUAUUCAUAAUUUCAGAUGAUAUUCUUAAAAGAGCCUAUAAGUGUAUCAAGGCAGACAAUCUGUAAUUUUCUACUGACCUCAAUGGAAGUAUACUAAUAUAUACUUGCAUUUUCAUGUACUAAACAACAGGCAAAUCCAUUUAAUGUAAAGAAAAUAAAAUUUUGUAUCAGAGACUUUAUUUUUGCGGUACGAUCACUAUCCUCGGGUACUUGGGCAGCGAGCAAACCAAAACACAGGACCACGCUUACUCGACUACCCUGCACAAUGGAUACAUCACCGCCACAAUCAUGGACUACAACGGAAUUAAGAAAAUUCCUGAAAGAACGAGCUAUACCCUAUUCUGGAUAUAGUAAAGCAGUGCUGGUUGAUAUGGUCGAGAAGGCCAUCGCUAAUCCAGGCAUCACGGAAAUCACACAGCCGAGUGAUGUUGAGGUAGCUGGUAUUACAAGAACAGUUUCCUUAAACGGAAAUGUAAUCUUAUUUCCCGAUCCACGUGUCAUAACCUCAUGGGAAAAAGACUUAACAUCCCUACCUCACCUGACAUCAGCCAAAUGCUUGGUGUAUCUCCUUUCUAAGGGAGGGUGGUCCUAAGAACGGGCUAUAUCAUAUGAAAAAGAAAGGCGAUAUCAGCUCUUCAUGGAGUCACACAUUGAUGAAGUAGAACUGAAUCAAGAAGACCACAACAUGACAUAUGUACGGGCCUUGUGCAGGAUGCAGACUGCACAGUCUGAAAAGCCAUACCAAGUGUGGCUUUUACUGAACACCACUGGAACGAUUGAGACUGCUGGCUGCCAAUGCAUAGGAGAUGAUGGAAGUUGCAAGCACGUUGUGGCUCUAAUGUUUGACAUAGAAGACUUUGUGUCACGUAGAGGGGAUCAUGCUUCAGCACCAACCUGCACUGAUCUUCCAUGUACAUGGAACAAGCCUCGUCGCAACACCAAACAAAUAAAGGCAGUCGAUCUAGAUCACAGGUAUGUUGUAACAGCAACAGUUUCCUAAGGCUGGUUCAUGAGCACAGAUCUUGAAGAAUUUGGGUUCAAGGAAGGUAUAGGAUAGGUAGCAUCAAACUGGUUAGGCAAAAUAACUUGGUGAAAAAUUUCAUCGUAAGCCACACUCCUUCAUAGAAUGGAUCAUAGAGAUCAUUGUACUCUAUGCGAACAUAUUAUGCUUUUUAAUCACCUAAUAUUGAUCUAUAUCAAUGAAAUUUUAACAUGGUACAUCUGCAUACUCUAAAUUAGUCUCUUAGUUGCCUAUGGGACUGAUGCUGCAUAUCCUAUACUUUCCUAGUCUGCGUUGGUGUCAGCAUACUUUGCAACCAUGAUUAAAAGUAGGUAAUGGUAUUAUUGAAAUAUAAUGUGUCUUCAAUUCUCAUAUUAUCUAGGUUAUAAGAGUUUAAUCAAAUGUACUUUUUGUUUUAAAGUGGUCAACCCAGCACCAUCUCUGUGGUCCGUCCCAGGUUUGGAUAUAACAAUUUCUUUCAGAAUGUGGUAUUCUCAGAGCUAAGCCACUACAUGUCAUCGCUGUGCCAUGUAGUCAAGCGAAAUGGGCUAUUUUAUUUUUUUAUUUUUUUUUUUUAUUCCAUGUCCAUACCGUUAUCACUUCCAAGAAAGAAUUAUGUAGAAAAGUGUAUUCUAGUUCCUAUUUGCAUCUUAAUGUAUAUAGAACGAGAUUCUAGGCACAUUUGUUAUUGUUCCCUGUGUGAUGAAGAACCUCAUGCCUGGUGCUGCCACACACCGACACCUACUAAUUUACUGAAUGCCCUAUUCUCAUAGCUUGCCCUUGAGUUAAUGUUUGUUACUAUGCAUGUAAGGCACAGAGGUCUGAAAGGAGUUGCUUUGCAUUUAAUGUUUGGAAGCAAGUUUGCUGCAUGUCUUCAGUAUUUUAUUUUCUUCUGGCAAUAAGUCUAGUGAAUCUUUAUGGCAUUCAGCACUACUAGCUUAUCAGUACAUCCACUGUCUUACUUUUUGGUACUCAUAGUUCUGAAAUCCAGCAUUGUGAGCUUUCAUACAUAACAUAGUCUAUUGUUAGUUAGCAGCACGUUUUUCUCCGUCCCUGGAGAUAACUCACUUGCCUUGGCAUAUAUGUUUCAAUGCAUUUCAUGAUUUGCAGGAUGGACACCUCUAUAACACGUUCAAUAACCCCUCGUUCAGAACAUUACAGAGCCUGUACCUUUGUCCCUAACUUCAACCCAGGGGAAAGUUUUCAUGCGUUUAUGGCUCAACGUGCAUCACGAACGUGUUAUGAACAAGUGCUUUUCCCUGAUAGAUUGAACAGGCAGCUACCCACAAUCACUGAACUUGCAGGGGAAUUUAGUAAAUCAAGGUUUGCAUUGCCAUUUGUUGAUUUUGUUAAGCAACAUUUAGGUAGUGCAGAUAUGGAUUUCGUACAAUCAAAAACACAUGCCCAGUACAAAUCACGUAUGUGGAAAGAUCAGAGAGUUGGUGCCUUGACAUCAACAACUUUUCAUAAGGCAGUACACUACAGGGGCAGUGAAAGAAGGCUCAAGAAGACUCAAGAAGGCUAAUAAAUAUCAACCUUAUACAAAACAUAGCUAUGCAACGUGGACUCCAAAUAAAUAAGAAAAAAAGUAAUAUAUUAAUAUAUAACCAGCAAGAGUAACCAGAAACAAUUGCAAACAUUAGAACAUGUAAUGAAAUAAAAUAUUUCGGAAUAACAAUAGAAACCAAGAAAGACUGUUUUAAAGAACACCAGAAGGAGAAGAUGAACGAAGCUAAAUAACUAGCAAACAUGGCAUACAUAAUCACAGAAAGAAAUUGUAACAGGUUGUUAGCUGGAAAAGGAUAUUGGAAAGGAGUCGGACUAGCUACUACACCAUAUGGAGCAGAAAGACUACACAAAAAAAAGAACUUUACAAACUCCAGUGUAUAGAGAACAAAGUAAAGAGAUGUAUAUUUGAUGAAUAUCCGUGUUCUGAAGGAUGUUUAUACUGUUGAUAAUUCAGAAAUGUUAAUCUGUCCUUAGAACUAUAAAUAAAAAAAAAAAAGCCCUUAAAAACCCGUGUCAUGUGGACUAAGGCCAUUUGAAAGUAGUGGUGCAGAAUUGUUUUAAGCCAUGGGUCUUCAUAUCUCUAUUUCUCCCCUAGUAUUGUAUCUGUUUAAUGUACAAUAUAUAUGUAAAAAAAAAUCACAAUGCUUAUUCCAGUAAGAAACAUAAAAAUAAGUUAGAUUAAAAUAUAUAAUCUCUAAUCUCCUUGGGAGCAGUAGUAGUAGUAGUAGUGAAAGGAAAAUUAAUGUGGUAAUAACAUUGGGUCAUAGAAACUGCAACAAAUAAACAGUAAAUAAAAAAAAAACACUUAUAAACAACUUAAAAGACACCACAUUACUUCAAAACACAUCAAAACGCCCUCAAAACACAUCAGCUACGUGUCCUGACCUAACUCCUGCUGUCUGCAUACACAUUCCCUUCCUGUUGUUUGCCUCUGUUAGCGCCAGAAGGCGUAAUCGCAGAAGGAGUAAGGACAUUAUAAAGGAAGGAAAUAGUUAGUUGUAGUAGUGAAGAUGGGAAGUAGAGCGAGGCGAUGAUGUAAGAUGGUACUGAGGUUCGAUGUUUAUAUCCGAAAGUGUCGAGACAGCAAUAACGGGGAGAUAAGACUUAGGAGAGAUGAAAAUUUGUGCUGACUCAAGGGGCCUCCGAGGUUGACCUCUGUCCCUAUGACCUGCCAGAGUAGAGAGGCGCUUUUUCCCUCAGGUUAGGCCGAGAGGCAGAGGGAAGCCUGCUGUUGUGAGAAGACCUGUACUCUCGUCACUGGUAGAGCAGUGUGGAAAACGGACGGCAAAGUACCCAAGAUUGUUCAAUAGACCCCGAAUACGUAAGUUGAAAACACAACAUUGUUCUAUAGGCUUCGAUGUUGAGACACUAUAUACGUUGUGAACCGUAAGGAAUGUAAGGAAUUAUAAUCUGUGUAUUGACCAAUAUAUGUACUUACGAUCCCGAAAUCGUUCUUGUCAGGUUUGACCGUAACUGAAUAAACUAACGAGUUAACGAAACGGGUCUGGUUCCUAAUCACUUGUCGCAUUGUAGCGGUAAAAGCCUCACUGUCACUGAACCUGACCUGACCUGUGUGUGAGUUAGUUCUAUCUCUAGUUUGAGUCUUUUGAUCUAAUUACCUUUUUUUUUUUUUUUUUUACUUAUUUUUUUCUGUGAAUUAUUUCGAAUUAUAAUUCUUAUGGAUUAUAUUUUGCUUUAUUUUCUUUUAUUUAUCUCUCUCUUAGUCCACAGGAUUACACAAGUGGAUUACAUUACGAUUACACAAAUGGCUGUUGGAGACUUGGUGAAUUACACUAAUUAUAUAUACUAGUUCGUCUCU